CCUGGAGUGGGGCCUGGGCUUGGGGGAGCCACGGUGCGGGCCCUGGCCGAGGCGGACGGAGAGGGUAGGGAGCGGUGAGGCGUCGAUGGCGGCCGCACUCUGGCCUGCUCUGCUGCUGCGUCAGGCGGGAAACUCGGCUGCCACCGCUGCUUCAGGUUCAGGUUUCCGGCCUGCCGCAGUCGGACGACCCUUCCGCCCUUCCUUCCGUCUUGGGAAGCCGGGCCGCUGCGCGUCGGGGCCUCUUCUGCGGCCAAGGCCGCACCCCAGGCCGCAGCCUUAAAGCAGAGGAGGCCCAGGCCCGUGCGCCCUUGGGACUGAGGCCCUGAGACUUGAAGGGUCGUGGAAUGCGGGAAGGAGGGUCGAUUUGGCGGGAACUUACUGGAAGGUGGCUGUGGUGGGGAAAAGACCCUAGUGCAGAUGGGGAGCGGGGGGGUUGGGUAUUUAUGCAGGCCAUGUGCUGGGGUAGUGGGCCUGGCGGGCCAUGUGCCAAGUGUUCUGAUGGGCUUAGAAAAGGGUCAUUGAAGACGCGCUUGCGGUUAGAGUGAGGGGAUACCCUGCCAGAAGGUCUGAGAAUGUUUGAAAUUCUUACUCUCUAUACUUGAUAGCUUCCCGAUCCUUGAAUUUUUAUCGUCGUUCAAAGGCUAAAUUACUUGUCUUACAUGGCAAUUCGAAAAGAGGCAGCUAGGUUUCGCUUUCCAUGAAUCAACGAAACACACAUCAUUUCUUGGAUUCAUUAAACGAAUAUAAUUUAAUCUAAAAACGAGACGUGAAAGUUAAUGAGCCAGCCCCCAUCUAGAUAUUCCAAAUGUGAAAACCUAUUUUAGAACGACAUAAUUGCCCACAUUUGGGUUUGGGUGUUGAUUUUAUUAUGGGUAAGCAUUAUGCUUGUUGCCACAUGUUAACCACAUGGCCCCAGUCACAGGGCACUUCCAAAGGAAGUGACUGCAUCUGGUAUUGGGGAGCUUACUUAGAAAAAGAAAAUAUUGCUCAGUAGUCAUUUGUGACUUGGGAUAGUGUGUUUCAGUCAUUCAGAAAGACAGAAAGUGUAAGAAGAAUCUGGAUUGCUUUUUUCUUUUAAGGUAAACAGGGAUUAAUUUACAUCCUCCUCAUACAAGUUUUUUUUAAAAAGGCUUUCCUUCUUUCCUGUCGUUUGACUCAGUUUUUGAGAGAAACAUAACCAGUUAAUUUCUGCAUGGAAGAGUUACCUUAAGAUAGCAACUUUGUUACUCUGUUGCUCAAGCGCUGAUUGCAUAUAAGGUUUUGAGGGUUUUUAAAAGAUGCAGGAGAUGAAAUUCCCACCUCUUAGGCUUUUUUUCCCCCUCUGCAAAGCAGUCAUUUUCAAAUACUUCCUUAAAAAUUGCUCUGAUCAUGGCUUAAUCACACCUGCAAAUGCCACGUACUUAGGUGUGUACUCUGUUUAGGUUGUUGAGCCUGAUUCUUGUCUACAAGGAGCUCUCUUGCACUGGAAUAUAAAAGGAAUCAUUUAUUAGAGUCCCAAGGGCUGAAUUAAGGACUUGAAAGUUUCUCCAAAUUGCAACUCUUGGCAGUGUUGUUGUUGUUUUUUUUUUUUAAAGCUAUCCGUAUGUUUGUGUACUUAUCUGCAUAUGUCACAUUAGAAAACUUGGAUGAGUCUUAGCAACCCAAAGGUCCACACUUUCAUGUUUGAUAAUGAGAGGUAAUGAUUUCAAACAAAUGUGGAGUCUCUAAAAUAUGUUGAGCCAAAUCAAUGGAAGAUCAAAGGGCAUUUAUUACACUAGCAUUUGAACAACUGGAACAGGCAGAGUGAUGUCUUCUUUACGGUAUUAUAAGUGGGUUUUUGAAUGGUUAUAUGUUUGGAUUAUUUUUACUGUUCUUUUUAAAUCUAAUAAAAAUACCUGGUACCUACAUCCUACAUGGGAAGUUACCAAAUUGGUGCUUAAAAGCAAUGGAACCACAGUUUGACUAAUUGGAACGAUUGGUCUGUUGGCUAAGCACUUGACCACAAGAGAGAUUUUGCUUUUUUUUUUUUUUUUUUUUUUUUUUUGCAGGAGUGAGAGUUUUAAAAAAUUGUUGGCUUCUUUCCUCUUCCUAGCCUCCUGACAGUAAGUGGAGAGGAGAGCCAGAAGACUGAUGCCAAGGCAUCCUGGCCUGCUAUGUGGAGAAUGCUCUUUCCUUACUGUCUCACUUAAUAGAACUCCUAUUCUGGCAGUAUCAGAUGCUGCUGCAGUAAGGGCAUGCUAUUGAGAAUUCCAGUAAACUGUGCACCAUUUUUAUGUUGUAAAAAACUGCUGGAAUAAUAAAGUGAGAGCUUGUGGCAACCAAAAUGCAAGUUGUAAGUAGAAUCUAUUAAUCAGUAGUAUGAGAAUGUAAUACAGUGAUCACCUGGAGUGGCUCCAUAAUUACAAAUGAGGGUAUUAACUAGGGAAAUCAGGUGGUCAGUCUUUGGAUCUGGGAGUUUGACUAAAGUUCUUUUUGUUUGUUUCAAAUUUUCAUUAAUGUAUAUAGUGCAAAAUGCCAUAUUAAAGAGGGGAAUGUGGAGGACUAAAAGCUGA